UACGAAGGGGGCUAGCGUUGCUCGGAAUCACUGGGCGUAAAGCGCACGUAGGCGGAUUCCUAAGUCGGGGGGUGAAAUCCUGGAGCUCAACUCCAGAACUGCCUUCGAUACUGGGAAUCUUGAGUCCGGAAGAGGUGAGUGGAACUGGACGAGUGUAGAGGUGAAAUUCGUAGAUAUUCGCAAGAACACCAGUGGCGAAGGCGGACUCACUGGCCCGAUACUGACG
rnacentral:rRNA from 1 species